rnacentral:rRNA from 1 species
UAAGAACGGCCAUGCACCACCACCCACAGAAUCAAGAAAGAGCUAUCAAUCUGUCAAUCCUUACUAUGUCUGGACCUGGUGAGUUUCCCCGUGUUGAGUCAAAUUAAGCCGCAGGCUCCACUCCUGGUGGUGCCCUUCCAUCAAUUCCUUUAAGUUUCAGUCUUGCGACCAUACUCCCCCUGGAACUCAAAGACUUUGAUUUCUCAAAAAAUGCCGAAGGAAUCAACAGGCAACCGCCUCCAAUUUCUUGGUAGCAUAGUUUAUGGUUAAGACUAGGACGGUAUCUAAUCGUCUUCGAUCCCCUAACUUUCGUUCUUGAUUAAAGAAGACAUCCUUGGCAAAUGCAUUCGCAUUAGUUUGUCUUUAACAAAUCCAAGAAUUUCACCUCUGACAGUUAAAUACAAAUGCCCCCAACCAUCCCCAUCAAUC